rnacentral:lncRNA from 1 species
GGUGUGUUACAGUUCUUAAAGGGGGCGGGUCCGGUGAGUGUUACAGUUCUUAACGGCCGCGCGUCCAGAGUCUGUUCCUUCUGAUGUUCGGAUGUGUUCGGAGUUUCUUCCUUCUGGUGGGUUCGUGGUCUCGCUGGCUCGGGAGUGAAGCUGCAGACGUUUGCGGAACUCGUGAGUUAUGACAAAAAGAUAUUAUGACUCCCAUGCAGCGGAUGAAGACAUUGAUGCCCAUGAAAGGAGAUUCACAAGCCUCCCUCCCAGAUUCAGGGAAGGAGAUGCAGCCCCCACCCCUUGACUGGAGGAGGACCAAGGUCACCUUGCAGAGCACCGUGAGAUGUGGAAGAUGCCAGAACUGUCUGUGGGAAAUGGGAUUUGUACUUGGCUUGUCUGCCUCUUGCAACCAGAGUCCUGGUUCUCAGGGCCUCACCUGUGCAUCUCUUGUUGAGCACAGAGGAGGCACUCGGCAUAAAUGAAGAGGAUGCUUGCUGAGCUGGCUGGCCCAUCCUCUCUUCUUUCCCUUGUUUUUCUAUUUUAUCUUUCAAAGCAGUGUUUCAAGUGUUUAUAAACUAAUCUAUGUAUAAAAUAUUAUGUGGCAUAAGAUUUGCAAAAUAUUAAAGAUUUAAAGAAUCAAAUAAAAUAUUUGUAUGAUACCACAG